rnacentral:rRNA from 1 species
GAUGAACGCUAGCGAUAGGCUUAACACAUGCAAGUCGAGGGGCAGCACAUGAGUGGCAACACGAUGGUGGCGACCGGCGCACGGGUGAGUAACACGUAUGCAACCUGCCCAUAACUGGGGGAUAACCCGUCGAAAGGCGGACUAAUACCGCAUGACAACGAUGAUCCGCAUGGUGAUUCGUUUAAAGAUUUAUCGGUUAUGGAUGGGCAUGCGUUCCAUUAGGUAGUUGGCAGGGUAACGGCCUACCAAGCCUACGAUGGAUAGGGGUUCUGAGAGGAAGGUCCCCCACACUGGUACUGAGACACGGACCAGACUCCUACGGGAGGCAGCAGUGAGGAAUAUUGGUCAAAGGGCGAGAGCCUGAACCAGCCAAAUCGCGUGAAGGAUGAAGGUAUUAUGUAUUGUAAACUUCUUUUGUCGGGGAAUAAAGUGCGGGACGUGUCCCGUUUUGUAUGUACCCGAAGAAUAAGGAUCGGCUAACUCCGUGCCAGCAGCCGCAGUAAAAC